AGAAUCAACGCUGGCGGCGUGCCUAACACAUGCAAGUCGCACGAGAAAGGGGAGCAAUCCCUGAGUAAAGUGGCGCACGGGUGAGUAACACGUGAAUCAUCUACCUCCGAGUGGGGAAUAACUGAGAGAAAUCUUAGCUAAUACCGCAUAAUACCUACGGGUCAAAGCAGCAAUGCGUUUGGAGAGGAGUUCGCGGCAGAUUAGCUAGUUGGCGGGGUAAUGGCCCACCAAGGCGAUGAUCUGU
rnacentral:rRNA from 1 species